AAUGGAAAAAGGGUUUGCACGCGUUUGGCUCCCUUUUCCAACUCCUUUCUUAGUCAUCAGCAAAAUGCCCUGGCCUCCACCCAAGAAAGCAAACCCUAGCCUCCACCAAUCUUGUCGCCGUGUGUCGGAGUGAGAGACUGCUGCUGCCGCUUCCGUCGCACUCAAGAACUUCCGCCUUGGUGCUAUCGUCGUUCGUUUCUUCGCUCUCACCAUCUCCUGUUCGCUCUCAUCAGUCACCUGUUCGCUCUCCAUCCCCUGUUCGCUGUCAUCAGUCGCCUGUUCGCCAUCGUCCGUUGUGCUCAACCGCUCUCUGUCGUCCGUUGCGCUCAACCGCUCUCCGUCGUCCGUCAAAGGUAACCUACUUUAAUUAGGUGUUGAAACUUCCAUCCAUGACCAGCACGUGUCAACAGGAUGAAUUGGUUGGAUGAAUUAAUGAAAAAUCAGACCGGUGAAACACGGGCGUUGAAAAGGAGAAUGCAUCCAUUCAACAUGAGUUGGGGUUGUGACACGUGGACUGCUGAAACCGGGAUUUAGGAUAUUAACUUAGGAUUCACACACACGCAUCCAUCCACAAUUCCACAUUAUAAAGUUCUUAAACCAGAUCCCAGUCUUAGCUGGAAACUAAAUCUGCCAAUCCGGUGCAUCAUUUUACAAAAAUAUUAUUUGUACACUAAAGUAGCUACUAAAAUCAAUCAACAAUGUAUUUAUGUAUA